rnacentral:snoRNA from 1 species
UUGACCAAUGAUGAGAAUGUGUCAUGAGCCAAGGAUUCCAGUUGACCCAAUUCUGAGCACCUGAUAUUCAUU